GACGAACGCUGGCGGCGUGCUUAACACAUGCAAGUCGAACGGAAAGGCCCUGCUUGCAGGGUACUCGAGUGGCGAACGGGUGAGUAACACGUGGGUGAUCUGCCCUGCACUUCGGGAUAAGCUUGUGAAACUGGGUCUAAUACCGGAUAGGACCGCACUUUAUUGUGUGUGGUGGAAAGUUUUUUCGGUGUAGGAUGAUCUCGCGGCCUAUCAGCUUGUUGGUGGGGUAAUGGCCUACCAAGGCGGCGACGGGUAGUCGGCCUGAGAGGGUGUACGGCCACAUUGGGACUGAGAUACGGCCCAGACUCCUACGGGAGGCAGCAGUGGGGAAGAUUGAACAAUGGGAGAAAGCCUGAUGCAGCGACGCCGCGUGGGGGAUGAAGGCCUUCGGGUUGUAAACUCCUUUCGGGAGGGACGAAGCUUUUUGUGACGGUACCUAGAUAAGAAGCACCGGCUAACUACGUG
rnacentral:rRNA from 1 species